rnacentral:rRNA from 1 species
UACGUAGGGGGCGAGCGUUGUCCGGAAUCAUUGGGCGUAAAGAGCGUGUAGGCGGCUUGGCAAGUCUGACGUGAAAGCCCGCGGCUCAACCGCGGAUUGUCGUUGGAAACUGCCUCGCUAGAGUCCGGAAGAGGAGAGCGGAAUUCCUGGUGUAGCGGUGGAAUGCGCAGAUAUCAGGAAGAACACCCGUGGCGAAGGCGGCUCUCUGGGACGGUACUGACGCUGAGACGCGAAAGCUAGGGUAGCGAACGGG